rnacentral:rRNA from 1 species
UUGCACGCUGGCGGCAGGCCUAACACCUGCCAGUCGAACGGUAACAGGAAACAGCUUGCUGUUUCGCUGACGAGUGGCGGACGGGUGAGUAAUGUCUGGGAAACUGCCUGAUGGAGGGGGAUAACUACUGGAAACGGUAGCUAAUACCGCAUAACGUCGCAAGACCAAAGAGGGGGACCUUCGGGCCUCUUGCCAUCGGAUGUGCCCAGAUGGGAUUAGCUAGUAGGUGGGGUAACGGCUCACCUAGGCGACGAUCCCUAGCUGGUCUGAGAGGAUGACCAGCCACACUGGAACUGAGACACGGUCCAGACUCCUACGGGAGGCAGCAGUGGGGAAUAUUGCACAAUGGGCGCAAGCCUGAUGCAGCCAUGCCGCGUGUAUGAAGAAGGCCUUCGGGUUGUAAAGUACUUUCAGCGGGGAGGAAGGGAGUAAAGUUAAUACCUUUACUCAUUGACGUUACCCGCAGAAGAAGCACCGGCUAACUCCGUG